AUAAGAGUGAGGCCCUAAUCCUAUAGGACUGGUGUCUUUACAAGAAGAGGAAGAGACACCAGAGCUGUUUCUCUCCAUGUUCACAGAGUAGAGGCCGUGUGAGGACACAGAGAGAAGGUGGCCAUCUACAAGCCAGGAAGAGAAGCCUCAUCAGAACCAACCCUGACAGCACGUUGAUCGUGGACUUCUAGCCUCCAGAACAAUGCUGUUUCAAAAUUGAUUAGUUCUCCGACCCGCCCACUGAACUCACCCAACCUAUUGAAGAAACAGAAUGGGCUGUGGAUUAUAGGGUUUCAGAUAAUACCAAGUCCCUGGUGAAAGAUGUUUUUGAUAUUCCUGCUCUACACAACGGAUCCUACCAAGGAAGAAGCACUGAGAAAAAAAUAGAUCACCAACAUGAACCUGCGUGCUUCUGGAAGAACAGGGAUGAUCAGGAAGCUGGGAAGAGAAUCCUUCAGAUGGGGAAACGGAAGCCCAAAGAACUGAAAGAACCUGCCCAAGAUCACACAACCGUAAGUGAUAAAGCCAAGAUUUGAAGUUAAUCUAGUCUUACUGUAAAACUUAAAACAAGAAAAGUGUGAGGAAGAAAGUACAAGCCCACCUGCAGCCCCACAUCCAGGGAUGAUGAACAUCAGCACGUUGGUGAUGAUCCUCCUUUCAUCUGUCACAGGCAUUGACUCACAUGUUUUAGCCUGGUUUUCCCUCCAAAGCAAAGUCCGAGACAAGGGCUUGCGUGCAUGCAAUUCAUUAGGGAAGGGAGCCCGGGGUCUGGGACGAGAGACUGGGAAAGCGAAACGCACAAGGCAGCACAGCCAGUGCCAAGGGGCUUCCUUGAGCCGGCGCCUGCUGUGGGCCGCCGGGUGCGCCCUCUCUGAGACGCCUUACCCAGCGAGACUUAGAACUCUCGAGCGUCUACGGUCGGGCCCACACGACACGCGGUCAGCAAUUACGCCUCAAGGAAAACGGCCUGUCGUGCUGCGCAUGCGCCGCUGCAGAGCAGCCUGGGUAGACCGGAAGCCAGUGCCGGCAGGCGUGCUUCCGGUUCGCUUGUGCUGGGCUGGUCGCCAAAGCAGUGGCUGCAGUGAAAGUUGGACUGAGAGGAAAGGAAGCUGCUUCCGAUCCGGAAAGUCGCACGCGCUUUCUUCUGGCUUUCCCUAUCCUGGAGAUCCACGGGUUUCAUGCAAGGGACAAACUCUUACCCUUUGGUCUGACAGCAACAAUGAUAAGAACGUACCCCGUUUUCGGCACCAACUUUGUAUGGGGUGGUCUACACCGCACAUGUGCGUCUUCACAACAGUCACCAGAGGCAGGUGUUUUCCGGAGAGGGCAGGGGAGGCCAGAGGAUUAUGAGGGAGAGGCCGUU
rnacentral:lncRNA from 1 species